AAUGCCACGAGACGACAUACUGGCAAUCGUUCCCUUCACAGUUUACAAAGCAGCCUCGUGUGUCGCCACAUCUGUGAUCCAUUGUUACUGCCCCUGUUGCUGGAGGCUGUGUAAUACAAGUACAAUGUACUGCUUCUACCCUCACUACUCAGCAGACAUCUACAUACUACAACUACUGUCCUCUACAGUAACUACCAGGCAAAGCUGUGCUUAGUGAAUACAAGAUGUGACAAUGACCAGACCUAUGAUGUGAUGGCGUAAUGAAUACAAAUGAUGGAAGAAACCAUGCAGUAUUGGUAGAGCCCGAUGCAGGGAACCCAUUAAUACAUUCCUCCUCCUAGAACUCCAUAAAGACCCAAUAACAGUUUGUUUAUGUCACUAUAGGUUGACAUUCUGACUCUGAGUGGACACUAUAAAAGCAUCAAAAGCUAAACUGUGCCAGCAGUUCUGUGGUACCAUUUCAUGGGAAACGCUCCAAACCGGCUAGUUUGAAUUGACAGAGAAAUUUAUUGAGCGGGAGCGGCUGUCAGUUCAGGUGGAACCAGAAGACGGUUUAUCUUGUUUCAUUGCCUAAGUACCUAUCAAUGUCUCAAUCUUGUUUCACACCCAAUGUUCUUUUGACUCUCUUAAGUACAUUUAGAUACUUAAACUUGCAUGUAUUCCGGUUGCUAGUACAUAUGUACCGGUAUUUACACGUAUGUACCUACCAAGAUCAGGUACAACAUGAAGAAAAUAUAGACAUGACUUAUUGUAAUGAUUAUAGUAGGUAGUUUUAAAAUUGUGUUUAACCAAUCAUGUUUCUUGUCUGUAGAAAAUAAUAACAUGUAUGAGACCAAUGUCCUUCCAAAAGAAGAAAUCACCAAUGCUGAAAUUUUUUUUUAGAGACCGUUAUCAUAAAACAUGCAUUUUCAGAUGUAAUAUUAAUGAUCCCUUCCGCAUAAUUACAGAUUUGAAACUGUCAUGAAG